rnacentral:misc_RNA from 1 species
GAUAAGAACGUAGCGAAAUGCGAUACUUGGUGUGAAUUGCAGAAUCCCGUGAACCAUCGAGUCUUUGAACGCAAGUUGCGCCCGAAGCCUCGGCUAAGGGCACGUCUGCCUGGGCGUCACGCAUCGCGUCUCCCCCAAACCGCCAAGGCGGAGGGGAAGGAAGAUGGCUUCCCGUGCCUCACCCGGCGCGGUUGGCCUAAAUUUGGAGCCCGCGGCACUUAGCUCUCGCGGCGAUAGGUGGUGAACAAGGCCUUGGCCGUGCAAACAACCCGCUGCGAAGCUCUAUGUCACGUGCGCUCGUCGGACCCUUUGAAGUUGCCUUCGGUGACUUAAAACCUUUGCGACCCCAGGUCAGGCGGGGCUACCCGCUGAAUUUAAGCAUAUCAAUAAGCGGAGGA